GAUCAUGGCUCAGGAUGAACGCUAGCUACAGGCUUAACACAUGCAAGUCGAGGGGCAGCAUGGUCUUAGCUUGCUAAGGCUGAUGGCGACCGGCGCACGGGUGAGUAACACGUAUCCAACCUGCCGUCUACUCUUGGCCAGCCUUCUGAAAGGAAGAUUAAUCCAGGAUGGGAUCAUGAGUUCACAUGUCCGCAUGAUUAAAGGUAUUUUCCGGUAGACGAUGGGGUUG
rnacentral:rRNA from 1 species